CUUGUACUCCCUCCGUCCGAAAAUACUUGUCAUUGAAAUGGAUGUAUCUAGAUGUAUUUUAGUUCUAGACACAUCCAUUUNUUUGAUGACAAGUAAUUCCGGACGGAGGGAGUACUUG
rnacentral:pre_miRNA from 1 species